AACGCGAAGAACCUUACCAGGUCUUGACAUCCUCUGACAAUCCUAGAGAUAGGACGUUCCCCUUCGGGGGACAGAGUGACAGGUGGUGCAUGGUUGUCGUCAGCUCGUGUCGUGAGAUGUUGGGUUAAGUCCCGCAACGAGCGCAACCCUUGAUCUUAGUUGCCAGCAUUCAGUUGGGCACUCUAAGGUGACUGCCGGUGACAAACCGGAGGAAGGUGGGGAUGACGUCAAAUCAUCAUGCCCCUUAUGACCUGGGCUACACACGUGCUACAAUGGAUGGUACAAAGGGCUGCAAAACCGCGAGGUUGAGCGAAUCCCAUAAAACCAUUCUCAGUUCGGAUUGUAGGCUGCAACUCGCCUACAUGAAGCCGGAAUCGCUAGUAAUCGCGGAUCAGCAUGCCGCGGUGAAUACGUUCCCGGGCCUUGUA
rnacentral:rRNA from 1 species